rnacentral:rRNA from 1 species
UUCAGAGGUCCCGAGCGUUGUUCGGAUUUACUGGGCGUAAAGGGAGCGUAGGCGGUUUGGUGUGUCGAAUGUGAAAGCCCACAACUCAACUGUGGAAUGGCAUUCGAAACUACUGAGCUAGAGUACCGGAGAGGAGAGCGGAAUUCUUGGUGUAGCGGUGAAAUGCGUAGAUAUCAAGAGGAACACCGGUGGCGAAGGCGGCUCUCUGGACAGAUACUGACGCUGAGGCUCUAAAGUUAGGGGAGCAAACAGGAUUAGAUACCCUGGUAGUCCUAACCAUAAACGGUGUACACUUGGUGUGCGAGGAAUUGUCCCUUUGCGCGCCGCAGCUAACGCGAUAAGUGUACCGCCUGGGGAGUACGGUCGCAAGAUUAAA